rnacentral:rRNA from 1 species
UACAGAGGGGGCAAGCGUUAUUCGGAAUUAUUGGGCGUAAAGGGCGCGUAGGCGGCUCGGCACGUCCGUUGUGAAAUCGCCCGGCUCAACUGGGCGGGGUCAGCGGAUACGGUCGAGCUUGAGCAAGCUAGGGGGCAAUGGAAUUCCCGGUGUAGUGGUGGAAUGCGUAGAUAUCGGGAGGAACACCAGUGGCGAAGGCGGUUGCCUGGAGCUUUGCUGACGCUGAGGCGCGAAAGCGUGGGGAGCGAUCCGG